GACGAACGCUGGCGGCGUGCUUAACACAUGCAAGUCGAGCGGAAAGGCCCUUCGGGGUCCUCGAGCGGCGAACGGGUGAGUAACACGUGAGUAACCUGCCCCAGACUUUGGGAUAACCUUCGGAAACGGGGGCUAAUACCGGAUACGACACAGCUUCGCAUGGGGUCUGUGUGGAAAGUUUUUCGGUUUGGGAUGGGCUCGCGGCCUAUCAGCUUGUUGGUGGGGUGAUGGCCUACCAAGGCGACGACGGGUAGCCGGCCUGAGAGGGCGACCGGCCACACUGGGACUGAGACACGGCCCAGACUCCUACGGGAGGCAGCAGUGGGGAAUAUUGCACAAUGGGCGGAAGCCUGAUGCAGCGACGCCGCGUGAGGGAUGACGGCCUUCGGGUUGUAAACCUCUUUCAGCAGGGACGAAGCGUAAGUGACGGUACCUGCAGAAGAAGCGCCGGCCAACUACGUG
rnacentral:rRNA from 1 species